rnacentral:rRNA from 1 species
UACGAAGGGGGCUAGCGUUGUUCGGAUUUACUGGGCGUAAAGCGCACGUAGGCGGAUCGUUAAGUCGGGGGUGAAAUCCUGGAGCUCAACUCCAGAACUGCCUUCGAUACUGGCGAUCUUGAGUCCGGAAGAGGUGAGUGGAACUCCUAGUGUAGAGGUGGAAUUCGUAGAUAUUAGGAAGAACACCAGUGGGCGAAAGGCGGCUGCACUGGUC